rnacentral:rRNA from 1 species
CAGUUCGGAUCGCAGGCUGCAACCCGCCUGCGUGAAGUUGGAAUCGCUAGUAAUCGCGGAUCAGCAUGCCGCGGUGAAUACGUUCCCGGGCCUUGUACACACCGCCCGUCACGCCAUGAGAGUCGGGAACACCCGAAGUCGGUAGUCUAACCGCAAGGAGGACGCCGCCGAAGGUGGGGUUGAUGAUUAGGGUUAAGUCGUAACAAGGUAAC